rnacentral:lncRNA from 1 species
GGACUACUUAAUUAAAUGUGGGAAGGGAAAAACCAGACGUGGAAGCUUAACAGUUUUUAAAGUUUUGUCAAAGUUUUGUAAUACAACAAGCCAAACAUUGUAAGUCGUAACUAAUGCAUCAGCCAAUUUGCUAAUAGUCGAAGACUAACGCUGGCUAGUAGAAAACAGUCCUAAAUUAAUAGGCACCUACCUUAAGAGUCUGUUACAGACAAGUGGCUCUUGCAUAAAAAGCAAUGAUAUUAAGAAUAUG